UACGUAGGGUGCAAGCGUUAAUCGGAAUUACUGGGCGUAAAGCGUGCGCAGGCGGCGCGUUAAGACAGGUGUGAAAGCCCCGAGCUUAACUUGGGAAUUGCGCUUGUGACUGGCGUGCUGGAGUGUGGCAGAGGGAGGUGGAAUUCCACGUGUAGCAGUGAAAUGCGUAGAGAUGUGGAGGAACACCGAUGCGAAGGCAGCCUCCUGGGCCAGCACUGACGCUCAUGCACGAAAGCGUGGGGAGCAAACAGG
rnacentral:rRNA from 1 species